AAAGAAGCCAGGAGACAACAUCAGAGGCAGGAGCUGUGCUGUAUUCAUCCUGAAAAGUUCUGGAGGAGGAAGCCACCUACUGGUCUCUGAGUGGGUGGUGGGGGGCAGAUGGAAGUGGAGGGGCAAGGCUAAAACCUUAAGGAACUGCCUGUCAGUGAGCACUCCUGGGAGAAUCAGAACACUGGGAGGAAAGAGGUCAAGGAGACAGCCUUCCUGCCACAUAGAUAGAACAUUCUGGUGGAUGGAAAUUUCCACGAGUGCUUCAGCCUUUCUGCCUGGCUUACACAGAAAUGGAUCUUAGAGCUACUGGCCAGAAGAUCACCUUUACCGAAAGCAUCUUGCAGUCAUCCUCCUUUCCAAGCCGCCUUCCAGUAAGACUCACAAUGGAAGGUCCCCAACCUGGAGCAAGGAUACAAGCCAAGGGCUUUGAUCAACUCGGCCUUCCUGGGCCUCGGGGAGAGAGACGGACUGCCUCCGGGUGCUCAUGACCUUUCCAGCAGUAAGCCAAUAAUGUAUGACUCCUGCGUUGCCGUUGCUCGUUUGAGCUUUGAAUGAUGCAUUGGCCCACGUGGACCACCUUCCAUUUCCCAAGACUUUUUGAAGGCAAUGAAUGAGAAGAAAGCAGAGAAAACAGUGGGCGUGAGGUCAGAUGACUCAGGCUUGAGUACUGAUCACAUCAAGGAUUGGACGCACUGCUCUUAGGAAGGCACAACUUCUACUACUUUCAGUCUUAUCAACUGUGAGAGGAAGAAGAAGCAAAGCACACCAUUGAUGUGUGUGGGUUUGAUGUAGCAUCUUCUAAGAGGUCUACAAAGAGACAUUGCAAAGCCAGGCCUCUAAAUGAUUCCUCUGUGAAACAUUGGGCCAAACAUUCCGUAACCCCUUCCUGCUCUGGUGAUCAUGUAAGUAGAUAUUCUGGAAGCACUUGCUCUACAGAUGGAGAAUUGUCACCAUCUGCCAGGACAGCUCCUGCUCAUCUUUCAUGACUCAGCUCACAUGUCAUAACUUCAAGGGGCCUUCAGCUCUCUGGCCCUUCCUGCCCCAUGAAGGCUCUACCCAGUGCCCCCAACUUUGCUCCUUCGGCUGCAUUUGAAGCAUUUACCUGUGCUUGUUAAUUGUUGGUGGAAUUGUCUGUAGACUGUGACCUUGAGUGUGCAGAGUCUUGUAGAGUCAUCUCUGGAUUCCCCACUCUGAGAACCACGCUUGGCCAUUGCAGGCUCUCAACAAAGGCUUGCUGAGGGGAUGAAUGAAUGAAUGUAUGGAUGGCAUGAAUGUAUGGGCUCUGGUGAAUUUUUUGCCCACAUUUUGCUGGCCAGCGGCUGCAUUGGGUCUGCACACUGAACCCUUUGGCUCAAGGUAUCAGAGCUGCUCUCCUUCCAGUGAAGACUUGGAUGGAAGACUUGAGAUGCAGGUUAUGGGGAUACGUGUCACCUCUAUUCCUCAUUCAGAAGGAUACAUACCUCACUGGACCAUAAAAAAUGAGAACUGAAUUAUCUGAGUGUUUGAAUAAACUUCCACCUUGUUACUCCACUACAGUCUGAGAAAACUUCACUGCACAAAUAGAGGCAGUGUACACCCCUCACAGACACUUUCCUUUCUCCUGUUGAGAGGUGAAGCCAGCUGGACUUCUGGGUCGGGUGAGGACUUGAAGAACUUUUUUGUCUUACAAGAGGUUUGUAAAAUGCACCAAUCAGUGCUCUGUAAAAACGCACCAAUCAGCGCCCUGUGGCUAGCUAGCGGUUUGUAAAAUGCACCAAUCAGUGCCCUGUAAAAACGCAGCAAUCAGCACUCUGUGGCUAGCUAGAGGUUUGUAAAAUGGACCAAUCAGCACUCUGUAAAACAGACCAAUCAGCACUCUGUAAAAUGGACCAAUCAGCAGGACAUGGGUGGGGACAAAUAAGGGAAUAAAAGCUGGCCACCCCAGCCAGCAGCAGCAACAACACGGUCGCGUCCCUUUCCACGGUUUGGAAGCUUUGUUCUUUUGCUCUUUCCAAUAAAUCUUGCUACCCUUC
ensembl:lncRNA novel transcript